GACGAACCGUGCGAACGUUAUUCGGAAUCACUGGGCUUAAAGCGCGUGUAGGCGGAAGGGCACGUCCGUUGCUGAAAUCCCCCGGCUCAACCGGGGAACGGGCGCGGAUACGACUCUUCUGGAGGGGCGUAGGGGGACCUGGAACUUCCGGUGGAGCGGUGAAAUGCGUUGAGAUCGGAAGGAACGCCCGUGGCGAAAGCGAGGUCCUGGACGUCUUCUGACGCUGAGACGCGAAAGCUAGGGGAGCGAACGGG
rnacentral:rRNA from 1 species